rnacentral:lncRNA from 1 species
GAAACUAAAAGUAUUUUAAUACAUAAAUCUGUACAGUCCAUAUGACACACUCACAUUUUACAUAUUCUCCUGGCUUAUUAAAACAUUUAAAAACACUCCAGAAUUUGAAAAUUUAAUAAUAUUCACCUACUAACACAUAUAAAUCACUGAAUGGUCAAAAUGUUUUUAUUUAAGCAUGUAUAUGUUCAGUGACUCUCAAGUUAACUAGGUUCAUUUUCCCUAAAGAUAACCUUAAAAGUUUGCUGAGGCAAAAGACACCUUGCAACAUGAAGCAUUAUGAUUAAACAAUUACACUAAAACUUAUCCCUAAACCUGGAAAUUGUCACUGCUGGCUAAAUUCUUAAAAGAAGUUCACUACUGUUAAAACUCUGCUCAGUUUUUUCCCAGUACAAUUUCUGUAUCCUUAUGGGUAAAAUAAAAGUAUUAAAUGAUUUAUUUCAUUAUUAGCUUUUAAUAAAAAUAAAGUCCAAAUAAACUAAUACAAUCAAUAAUUUAAAAAAUACAAAACAAACCAUUUGAUAGUAUAGUUUAUUUAAUACAAUGUUUUAACUAUAAAAGUUGAUACAGUUUCA